AGUACAUAAAUGCAGAUGACAGCUGUCUGUAUUUGGUCGAUCAUUUAAGAAACUCUUUGGAGCAGGAAGAGUCUGACCGUGCAGCCAAAAGAUUCCGUGAAUACUUCAAAAUGAGAAGGACAUGCUACAACAAAACAGACUGGGUGAAUGUGAGACUUCGAGGAGGAGUACUGACACAUUCAUUUCAACGGGAUGGUUCUAGCUGCGGAGUAAUGGUCAUCAUGAUAGCCAAAGCAGUAAUGGAAGCAUUCCCAAAUAAACCAGAAAUGACAUUUUUGACGACAAAAAACAGAGAUGGCCCAGGCACGAAGGACAUUUGCACA